rnacentral:rRNA from 1 species
GCGCGAAAACUUUACAAUGCGGGGAACCGCGAUAAGGGGACACCGAGUGCCAGCAUCCUAUGUUGGCUGUCCAUAUGUCUAAAUCACAUGUGUUAGCAAGGGCCGGGCAAGACCGGUGCCAGCCGCCGCGGUAACACCGGCGGCCCGAGUGGUGGCCACUAUUAUUGGGUCUAAAGGGUCCGUAGCCGGUUUGGUCAGUCUUCCGGGAAAUCUGACGGCUCAACCGUUAGGCUUUCGGGGGAUACUACCAGGCUAGGGACCGGGAGAGGUAAGAGGUACUACGGGGGUAGGAGUGAAAUCUUGUAAUCCCUGUGGGACCACCAGUGGCGAAGGCGUCGUACCAGAACGGGUCCGACGGUGAGGGACGAAAGCUGGGGGCACGAACC